rnacentral:tRNA from 1 species
GCGGCGUUAGCUCAGCCGGGAGAGCAUAUGCCUUACAAGCAUAGGGUCGGGAGUUCGAGCCUCUCACGCCGCACCA